CAAUAGCGUAUAUUAAAGUUGUUGCGGUUAAAAAGCUCGUAGUUGGAUUUCUGCUGAGAACGACCGGUCCGCCCUUUGGGUGUGUAUCUGGCUCUUUCUUGGCAUCUUCUUGGUGAACGUUGCUGCACUUGACUGUGUGGAGCGCUACCCAGGACUUUUACUUUGAGGAAAUUAGGGUGUUUCAAGCAGGCAUACGCCUUGAAUACAUUAGCAUGGAAUAAUAAGAUAGGACCUCGGUUCUAUUUUGUUGGUUUCUAGAGCUGAGGUAAUGAUUAAUAGGGAUAGUUGGGGGCAUUCGUAUUUAACUGUCAGAGGUGAAAUUCUUGGAUUUGUUAAAGACGGACUACCGCGAAAGCAUUUGCCAAGGAUGUUUUCAUUA
rnacentral:rRNA from 1 species